rnacentral:rRNA from 1 species
AGUGGCGAACGGGUGAGUAACACGUAGGUGAUCUGCCUCUGGAUGGGGGAUAGCCCGUGGAAACACGGGGUAAUACCGCAUGAGGCCCUGUAAAGGAAAGGUGCGUCUGGGGAUGAGCCUGCGGUCCAUUAGAUAGUUGGUGAGGUAACGGCCCACCAAGUCGACGAUGGAUAGCCGGCCUGAGAGGGUGUACGGCCACACUGGAACUGAGACACGGUCCAGACUCCUACGGGAGGCAGCAGCUAAGAAUCUUCCGCAAUGGGGGAAACCCUGACGGAGCGACGCCGCGUGGAUGAUGAAGGCCGUAAGGUUGUAAAAUCCUUUUGUCGGUGAAGAAUGACGUUAGCCGAUGAAUAAGCCCCGGCCAAUUACGUGCCAGCAGCCGCGGUAAUACGUAUGGGGCAAGCGUUGUUCGGAGUUAUUGGGCGUAAAGGGCGUGUAGGCGGCUCAUCAAGUCUGGUGUGAAAUCGCAAGGCUCAAACUUGCAUAUGCGCUGGAAAC